rnacentral:rRNA from 1 species
CGAGCGCACCUUCGGGUGGGCGGCGGACGGGUUAGUAACGCGUGGGAAUGUACCCUUCUCUACGGAAUAGCCAUUGGAAACGAUGAGUAAUACCGUAUACGCCCUUCGGGGGAAAGAUUUAUCGGAGAAGGAUCAGCCCGCGUUAGAUUAGAUAGUUGGUGGGGUAAUGGCCUACCAAGUCUACGAUCUAUAGCUGGUUUUAGAGGAUGAUCAGCAACACUGGGACUGAGACACGGCCCAG